UUUGUUUUGUUUAUUGUUUU
rnacentral:miRNA from 1 species